CACUACUUCAUCUAAUAUGUCAAGUUUUAAAAAUUUCCUUUACAAUCCUCUCACAACCACUCCAGUUUUCAUUCGGGGUUUCUUUAAUGCCAUCAUUGCGUAAAUUAUUUCUCCUAGAGCGAUUUUCUUGCUGUGAAACUGUUCCCAAAAAUCUUAACAAGACAAUGAAAAGAUUCGCAGCAAUUCAAUGCUGAGCAAUUGCCUUGGAGAAAAGCUUCGUAAAAUGGCCGUAACCUACUCUAGUAUAAGGAUGUGAACAACUUAUUUUAUAGUAAAAAAUAUUGCAAGGUUGUAAAUAUAAGAGUUAAUCAUGAAUAAAAAAUGUUUUUAAAA